UGCUGGCAGCGGCCGCCCACGCCUCCCAGGGGUUGCAGGCCUGGGCGCCGGGGUUGGACCAGUCUUCCGGGCAUUGCACGCCCUGGUUUGGUCUGUACCCAUGGUUUGUGGCAGGGCAAGACGUUAAGUUGGGUAACACCGAGGUGAGCCGCGGUCCUCGGCACCAGAUGAGGAACCACUGUCUCAAUAAGCUGAGUGCCAUGAGAGGACAGUGACAACCUUGGAGGCCUCAUGGUGAAGGUGGCAGAACCUUUGUUAGCCUGGGUGCUCAGGGUGGACAGCUGCUCUUGCCAACUGGGAACAUCUGCCUCGAGCGCUUUUGUGUCUUUAUUUUGCACACUUUGGGGGUCUUCUAUGAAUCACUGUGCACAGAGAAUGUCCCUUUGUAAGAAGAUGGAAUGGUUUUUGUGACUGGUUACUGUCCCACUGUCCUUCCACCAGUGAUCUGGUCCCCUGUGAUCUGGGAGCUCAUCCUUGUAGCCAUCUCUAAGUGACAUAGUGGCCUCAGUGUGUGAAUACUGAUAUGUAGACACUGGGAGUGCCUGAAAGAAUUUGCUGUACGUUCCUUGUUAGUUUCAUAUAAACAAAACUAUGGGUCUGUUUAUUUUUUGGAUGCUCAGA